UGGGAUCUAAUCCACCAUCAAAAUAAGGAUGGUUUAGAUUUUAAAAUUCUGAGAUGUUGUGCAAAAUAACACAGUUGGGGUGACGACAAUCAUCUGUAGAACCAGUGUGGUCGUCAUUAUGAGCAAGGUUAUGGCCCACAGCGGUGAUCAACCCUUAAUUGCUCAAAACAACUCAGUGAACUCUGCACAAGUUAGGGCAUCCUAGGCAUCAGGUCUUUCU
rnacentral:lncRNA from 1 species